rnacentral:rRNA from 1 species
GACGAACGCUGGCGGCGUGCUUAACACAUGCAAGUCGAACGGAGCGAAUGAAAGCUUGCUUUUAUGAGCUUAGUGGCAAACGGGUGAGUAACACGUAGACAACCUGCCGAUCAGAUGGGGACAACAUUCCGAAAGGAAUGCUAAUACCGAAUGGCGUGUAGGGAAGGCAUCUUCCCUACAUGAAAGAUGGCCUCUAUAUAUAAGCUAUCACUGAUCGAUGGGUCUGCGUCUGAUUAGCUAGUAGGUAAGGUAACGGCUUACCUAGGCGACGAUCAGUAGCCGGUCUGAGAGGAUGAACGGCCACAUUGGGACUGAGACACGGCCCAGACUCCUACGGGAGGCAGCAGUGGGGAAUCUUCCGCAAUGGGCGCAAGCCUGACGGAGCAACGCCGCGUGAGUGAAGAAGGUCUUCGGAUCGUAAAGCUCUGUUGAAGGGGACGAACGUACAUAGUGCGAAUAGUGCUGUGUAAUGGCG